rnacentral:rRNA from 1 species
CCUACGGGCGGCAGCAGUGAGGAAUAUUGGUCAAUGGACGAGAGUCUGAACCAGCCAAGUAGCGUGAAGGAUGACUGCCCUAUGGGUUGUAAACUUCUUUUAUAUGGGAAUAAAAUGUUCCACGUGUGGGAUUUUGUAUGUACCAUAUGAAUAAGGAUCGGCUAACUCCGUGCCAGCAGCCGCGGUAAUACGGAGGAUCCGAGCGUUAUCCGGAUUUAUUGGGUUUAAAGGGAGCGUAGGUGGAUUGUUAAGUCAGUUGUGAAAGUUUGCGGCUCAACCGUAAAAUUGCAGUUGAAACUGGCAGUCUUGAGUACAGUAGAGGUGGGCGGAAUUCGUGGUGUAGCGGUGAAAUGCUUAGAUAUCACGAAGAACUCCGAUUGCGAAGGCAGUUCACUGGACUGCAACUGACACUGAGGCUCGAAAGUGUGGGUAUCAAACAGGAUUAGAGACCCUAGUAGUC